CGGGGCGAGUUUAAGCGUAACUUAGACCCGCCCUCGCUGCAGCCGGACGGAAAUUCCCAUCCCGCUGGAACAGGCGAGGGCGCCGAGGAACCCAGGGGACCGCAGCAGGGGGCGCAGGUGUCCGUCCACAAGCUACCUUCCUAGGUGACAGCUCCUGCCAGAGAGCCUCCCAGUAUAUUCCUGCAGGAACGCAGCGCCACGCUCUUCCUGGAGUGGGCGAAAGAUCUAAUAAACUCGAGUUCCUACACGCCGGUUUCAUUAAUGUUACGAAAGCAAACUUUAUCAUUUGCCCGCCGCUCCUUUUUUCGAGGCGGGAGAGGGCGGUAAGAGGCACAGACUCGGUCCCGUAUGUCAUUCUUCCGUCUUCAAAGCACCGAGCAACUACGGAUGAAGUGAGAGCACAUCUCGGCACUGCUUCAAGAGGCCGGGGUGGGAAGGGGGGCAUCUGCGGAAAUAGAUGCUUCCUGUUGUACCCAUGUGAUGGCUGCGAUGUCCUACGAGUUCAUCUGUAAGUACAAAUGACAGUCCGCCCAACUGUGUUCAAGUUUUCCUACACACGCUAAGGGACCAGGUGUGCAGUGUCACCGAAAGCCUUUCAAAAAGGCCAAGUCCUUCGAGCCGGAUUCGAACCAGCGACCUAAGGAUGACCACAACCACACGCCUACAGUCCUCCGCUCUACCAACUGAGCUAUCGAAGGAUUGGUGGUAAGACUUGUUAGAAUACCUUAAUGUUUCUCCCAAUGGUUUUGUUUGGAUUCUAUUUUUAAAAUCUAGUGCGGAUUUUUUUCUAGGAUGCUGGAAAUGUUCUAAAACUGAUAGGGGUCGCGAUCAUAGAGGUAUAUUAAAAAAUGAAUAUUCAUAAAAA